UACGUAGGGUGCAAGCGUUAAUCGGAAUUACUGGGCGUAAAGCGUGCGCAGGCGGUGAUGUAAGACAGUUGUGAAAUCCCCCGGGCUCAACCUGGGAACUGCAUCUGUGACUGCAUUGCUGGAGUGCGGCAGAGGGGGGAUGGGAAUUCCGCGUGUAGCAGUGAAAUGCGUAGAUAUGCGGAGGAACACGAUGGCGAAGGGCAACCAUCUGGACCGGAUACUGACG
rnacentral:rRNA from 1 species